AGCGUCACUCGAACCAGCGACCU
rnacentral:siRNA from 1 species